CCCCCCCCCCCGACCUCCGUUGUCCGCCAGAGUACUACGAGCGUAAGCUUAAAACCCAAAGGACUUGGCGGUGCUUUAGACCCACCUAGAGGAGCCUGUUCUAAAACCGAUAACCCCCGUUAAACCUCACCCUCACUUGUUUCUCCAGCCUAUAUACCGCCGUCGUCAGUUCACCCUGUGAAGGCCCAAUAGUGGACUUAACUAGCACAGCCCAAAACGUCAGGUCGAGGUGUAGCAUAUGUGAAGGGAUUAAAUGGGCU
rnacentral:rRNA from 1 species